rnacentral:rRNA from 1 species
ACGAACGCUGGCGGCGUGCUUAACCCAUGCAAGUCGAACGGAAAGGCCUGCUUUCCCUUGUGGAUUGCGGGUACUCGAGUGGCGAACGGGUGAGUAGCACGUGAGUGAUCUGCCCCCAACUUGGGUAUAAGCCUGGGAAACUGGGUCUAAUUCCCGAUAGGACUGCAGGGUGGUGCCUGUGGUGGAAAACGAUUUUCUAGUGGUUGGGGAUGAGCUCGCGGCCUAUCAGCUUGUUGGUGGGGUAAUGGCCUACCAAGGCGGCGACGGGUAGCCGGCCUGAGAGGGUGGACGGCCACAUUGGGACUGAGAUACGGCCCAGACUCCUACGGGAGGCAGCAGUGGGGAAUAUUGCACAAUGGGCGGAAGCCUGAUGCAGCGACGCCGCGUGGGGGAUGACGGCCUUCGGGUUGUAAACUCCUUUCGACCGCGAGGAAGCCACCUGGUUGGAAGGGUGGUGACGGUAGUGGUAGAAGAAGCACCGGCUAACUACGUG